UAAAAUCCUCCGCCGGGCCCCACCUGUCAGCCCCUUCCCUCUCCUUCUCUGUUUUCUCCCGCGCGCCGCGGCACGCGUCGCCGCCGCCGGCCAUCCUCGUGAGCCGCGCCACGUGCCGGCCAUCUUCGCGUCCCGUGCCACGGUCGUCCUCCCCCACGCCCUUAUCCGCGCCCGGUCGACCCCGUUCCCUUCCAACCCAAACCCUAGCCCCCUCCUCCAUUGACGCCGCCGCCCCGAGCUCCCUCCUCGCCGCCGAUUCGCCGCUCACAGGCCGGCGACGAGCGCCUCCGCCCGCCGCCGCCUCUGCUCGUCGCGCCACCGGUCCGCCGCCGCUCCUCGCCCGCAUCGCCGCCGGUGAGCUUCGCCGUCACCUAGGGCACGCCAUGCGCCCUCGCCCCGAGCUCCUCCAGCCUCGCCCCGCCGCGCCGCCGUCCGCCGGCGCCACCGCGCCGCGCACGCGCGCGCGUGGGCGCGCCCAGGCGCGGGGUCAAGGCAGGCUUCGGCCUUGACCCGGCCUGGUGGUGCCGCCCGGCUCCCUGGGCCCACCUGUCGGUGGCCGGGGUGGCUACCUCGGGUGUACCUAGCGUUUUAGCUAGGGUUUCUUAGGUUCCAUAUUUCUGCAAUCUUCCAAAAUUCAUAGAAAUUCAUGUAUAGCUCCAAAAAUUGUGAAACUUGUUUUGUUGAGUUCCUCUAGCUGAGAUAUACCUAGGAAAAAUAUUGUUUUGCAUGUUACUUUGUUGUAGAUUUAUCUAUAGAUUUAUCUUGCAAAAGUGAGUUUAUUGCUUGGUUAUUUGUGUACUGCUAGAAAAAUGUCAAACCAAAUUUUGUUAGACUCCUUGUGAGGUGUAGUUUCCAGUGGUGCAGGUUGUUCACAUGAUUACUUGCUGAUGGUUAGGGUUUUAUUUCGAUUUCGUGCUUGCUGUCCAAAAGGUGGUUUAGUAUAGAACUUUUUGCUGGAAAGUGAUAAAAUAGCAAAACCAGUUUUGUUAGCUUUGUGUUGAUGCCUAGUUUCCAAGAUAAUUUUCUUGGAUUUGUUUAGUUUAGUUUGCAUUCCUUUUCUGUUUUAUUUUGCUUAGAGUAGCUGAAAACGGUUUUAUUUAUGGUUAAGUCUAGGAAAAUGUUUUUGCUGCAAAACCAAUUUUCUUGAGUUCUUUGCUUUGUUCUCUACAUGUUCAAAUUGUUUCAUGAUUUAUGCGUGUUGUUAAGAUCAUUUCUUAAUUCUUGCAUCGCAUUCAUGCAUUUUAGUGACCGGAUCGUCGGAGAACGAACCCGUGGAACCCGCCGAGUCCGUGGAGCCCGAACCCGGAGUCCCGUUCGUGGUCGAGUCUGAAGUUAACCCAGGCAAGCAGCUAAGCAUUUUCCUUGCACCUAUUUAAUCUGAUUUAGUUAGCUAUCUCAUCGGGUACUGUUGGGUUAUAUAUUAUCUAUGUAUUGCAUCCUUGUACCUACUUUGAUGCACUAGCCAUCCUUGAAUUGUUUAACCAUGUCCUUGCCACGUGUUAGUCAGCUAAUAACUUAAUUUGACUAGAUGCUUAGUUUUGCUUUGAA